UCCCCAUGGAAAACUCCAUCCGUUUGAGUGGAAUAUCGGUAGAGUCCACAAGUAAACCGGAUUUUUCGGUACGGUCCAAUCGAUUAGAGAAUCAAGUGACAUUACGAAAAUCCCCCUGUGGCAAUGUACCACUCCUUUAGGAGCCGAGGUCGUACCGGAAGUGUAAUUUAGCACAACCGGGUCCCAUUCGCUCACGGGUCGGAUCCACUCAAAACCCGGAUCCCCUCUCUCGAUUAGAUUAUCGUAAGAGUAGCUGAAUUUAUCGGUGCGGUAAGCCACGUCAGCACCUCCUUCCUCUUCAUUAUCGGCGAUGAAGACGAGAAUCGGCGGAUCUGUUAACAUGGCGAUCGCUUCGACGGCGAGAUCAAGAGAGAAAACGUCGACGAAGAGAAGCUUAGAUCCGCAGUGGCGGAGAAGAACAGAGACGGUGCGCGCGUCGAGACGCGUGUUGAUGUUGUUGAGGAUUGCGCCGGACAUCGGAACGGCGAACUGAAGCUCGUACAUCGCCGGAGUAUUGGGAGAGAGGACGGAGACGACAUCGAACCUGCCGAUUCCGAGUGAUGACAGAGAUGACGCGACGCGUAGGCAACGCAGAUUUGUCUCCCGCCACGUGUAAACAGUGUUACUACCGUAAACGAUUGAGGUACAAUCACCGUACACGGUGGCAGCUCUCUCCAAGAAACCUAACGGCGUCAACGGCGGCGAGUUUGCGGCGCAUGGCUUCAUUUCCUCCAUCCGUAAGCUCUCUACUUCGAAGUGGCAAAAUGUUUUUUCUUUUCCUAGAUUCUUCUCCUUUUUUCUUGGGUCGAAUCCUAGUUUCUUCUCCUUUGAAAUUUAGAAAGAAACGUGUUUUUUGUGUGUAUUAACUAGGACACCUCGAUGGCGACAAUGAAGAUAAGGAAAUCUGAAACCCAAUCGGCAUCUUAUCCACGUAGGUAGAAAAAAAUAGUGAAAAAUAAACAUCCAAUGGAAAUUACUCAUUUGAUGGAUUAUGCGGAGGAUUUGGAAAUUUUGAAAUAAUUUAAACUUCAGCAAACAGAGAAUUAAUUUUUAAAAAAGGAUGUAAAAAUUUCUGUUGCAGAUGUAGAUGAGUGACUUAUGGCAACAAAUCAAGAACAACGAAAACGUACAUCAUCUGCUUCUAAAUAGAAUCGUCCUGUUGUGACCUGUGGGUAUCCUUAAGUGUAAUUAUGACGUUUCCUUUUACCCCAAUUCAAGGAAGGUAGUUGGCGAAUGGCGGUUGGAUAGUUCGUAAUAACCACAGUGUGGCUCAAUUCUGGGGUGUUGCUAAACUAGGGACAGCGAUUUUUCAGCUUUGGAGGUUGAGGGUAAAGCUCUUUUGUGUGCAGUGCAAAAUGUGUGGACGCUACGUUUUGCUUCAAUUAUUUUUGAAGGUGACAAUGAGCGCUUGGUCAAAAUUGUACAAGGGCAACAACAAGAUAUUUCAAUUCUCGAUCUCUUUGAUUAUAUAACAAGAUGGAAAAAAGUUUUGCUCAUCUAUCAUUCUCACAUGUUAAAAGACGGCAGCACAUUUUUAGCUAAUAGUACUCCAAACAUUAUUUUUUUUCGCUAAUAGUAUUUAUCCACCGGGUUGGCUAAUAAAACCGUUGUACAGUACUCUGAUUGUGUAACAUCAAUCUAAUCAGAAGAGCAAUGUAGAUAUGUUCUGCAAAGCAUGGUAUGAAUCUAAAUGCUUCUACUUUUAUAUCAAUCUUUAUCCAUUGUGCUAAAUAAUUAAGGGUUUUUUUGUUGUCAUCAAAUAAGUAAGGGUUUUUCUAUCUCUUUGCAUCAAUCUUCAUUAACGUCUCAGGCUUUCUAAGUGAAGCAAAUAAUUCAGACAUAUGAGUAGGAGGUUUUCUCUUUGAAGGUAUACAAUGUAAAAUUGACAUAAGAGUCUUUGCGAGAACUAGGUUUUGUUACAUGACAAAAGCAUGUUUCAUAUUUUUCGGACUGCAUUGCAUUCUGAGACAUUCAUUUAGCUGAUAUUGGAGUAAAUUUGAUCAUUUAUGUAUGUGAUUAUAUUUAGUUUAUCAAUCUUCGCUUGGUUUGUGUGCUCCAGUAAGAGAUUCAGUUUUUACCAAAAAAAACUCCACUUUUUUAUUGUGAAAGCAUUAUCGUGGAUUAAAUGAGAUAUGACUGCCCAUAUGUUAUAACUUUAUUAAGAAGGAGCUACCGAGUUGUUUACUGUUUAGUGAAUCUGAUUUACUUUGAUUUGAAAAGGUAGAGAUAUAUGGCACCAAACCAAGUUAUAUGGACAAACAUGUCACCAAUUAUAAGAAGCUAUUAGACCAUGUCCAAAGCAAGGUUCUAAUGGGUUCAUAGGCUGAGUUUUAAGGUUUUUUUGGAUUUAUUUUAAUUGAAAAAGUCUACAACUGUCUUAAACCGGUUCUUAUAUUAGAGUUUUUAAAACCUGUUUUAAGAGAGGUUCAUUUAUGACGCGUCUUGAUUUCAUUCGACAAAGAAAAAAAGUUGGAUAAACCAUUUCUCUCACUCUCUCGACUAUAUCGAACACUAUGAAGAAAACCCACCAUUGUCUUAUAUUACUCUUCUUCGUUCUUCAACUUGGUGGCAGAUGGUAACUUCGAUUUCGUUUUUCUGAGUUUCAGGGAUUUCAAGUGCGUCGACAUUGAAAGAGUCAACGGCAAGGCUAGUUCGAAUCAAACGCUGCUCCACAUUGUCGUCCUCCUCAUCGGAAUCCAUCUCUGCUUCUCGAUGCUCGUCAUAUCCCUCGUAAUCAUCAUCAUCAUAAUCAUUCUUCUUAUCGAAAACCCAGCGAGACAUUGACGUCGUCGAAUCGUCUCCGGUUAUCCCUCAUCCAUGUCAGACCCGGCGCCUCCACUGCUUUCUUUAUCCACGUUCUACAUCAAUCCCGUCGGAAUAAAACACUAACACGUGAAGGUAGAUCUUAGGGAUUGUGAUCCACAUUCGUAAUCUGAUUCAACGAAACAAAAUAAGAAACAGUGUUUCAGAGAAUUGAGAGAGAGAGAUGAUGAUGAUUGAUGAUGAUCUACAAUGGCACGAAUGAGAAAGAAGCUUACACAUGUUCUAUCGAGUUUCAAUUGGAGAAUCUGUCUCAAAACCUUUUAAGAAGUUCAGGGUUGCAGGUAGAAAAAACCAAAAAGUUAUAAACUUUUAAGAUUUCAAAACAAUAUUAAUAAAAAAUAUAUAAGAACCCCAUGAUGGGUACAGGGUUGAACAUGGUCUUACAGUUUUCAUCAAUAACCAUUUAAUAUAACAAAUUUGCAUAAAUUAACCCAUAUGGUUCACAUCCGACUCAACCUCGUCGAACCCAUCCUCUUCGCAAUCUCCCUGAGCACAAAUUUCAUAACUUUCCCUGUCGAAGUCUUGGGCAACUCAUCCUGAAACGACACCGUUUUAGGCACCAUAUACCUUGGCAUUUUCGUCUUGCAAUAUUCUAUUAUCUCCUCCUCCGUCGGUUUCCGAGUCAACCCAGGUUUCAGACUCACGAACGCGCACGGCGUCUCUCCCCAAAACUCGUCUGGUCUCGCCACCACCGCCACUUCGUUCACCGCCGGAUUCGUGUACAGAACCGCUUCAACCUCCACGCUACUCACAUUCUCUCCUCCCGUUAUAAUUAUAUCUUUCGAUCUAUCCUUGAUCUCCAAAUACCCAUCCGAGUGAAUCACCCCAACAUCUCCGGUGAAAAACCACCCAUUCUUCAGAGCCUUCUCUGUUCCGAUCGGAUCCUUCAAGUAACCGAGCAUGAUCGAGCUUCCUCUCAUCACAAUUUCUCCGACUCUUUCUCCGUUUCUCUCAACGCUUCGACCCGAUCCAGGAUCCACCACGUCUAUUUCCGUAAACCCGACGGUUCUCACUCCUUGCCUUGCCUUCAGCCUCGCCCGAUCGCUCGCCGGUAACCGAUUCCACUGUGGCUUCCACGCGCAUGAGACGUUUAAACCGCCGGUUUCCGUUAAUCCGUAUCCGUGGCUGAUGUUGAAACCGAUUGAUUCGGCACGGAGGAGGACGGUGGCAGGCGGCGGAGCACCGGCGGUUAAAAUGUUGACGGGAUGGUUAAGAGGCUUAGAUUCCUGAGUCGCCGAUAACAUAUUGAGCACCACCGGAGCUCCGCACAUAUGUGUGACGCCGUGAUCACGGAUCAAACGGUAGAUGAGCGGCGCGUCGAAUUUACGCAAGCAGACGUUAGUUCCUCCGACGGCAGCGAUUCCCCAUGGGAAACUCCAUCCGUUGGCGUGGAAUAUCGGUAGAGUCCACAAGUAAACCGGAUUUUUCGGUACGGUCCAAUCGAUUAGUGAAUCAAGUGACAUUACGAAAAUUCCCCGGUGGCUGUGUACCACUCCUUUAGGAGCCGAGGUCGUACCGGAAGUGUAAUUUAGCACAACCGGGUCCCAUUCGCUUUCGGGUCGGAUCCAAUUAAAACCCGGAUCCCCUCUCUCGACUAGAUCAUCGUAAGAGUAACUGAAUUUCUUGGUGUGGUCGGCCACGUCAGCGCCUCCUUCC
rnacentral:lncRNA from 1 species